rnacentral:rRNA from 1 species
AACCAGGAUGUUGGCUUAGAAGCAGCCACUCAUUCAAAGAGUGCGUAAUAGCUCACUGGUCGAGUGAUCCUGCGCCGAAGAUUUCCGGGGCUAAAACUUACUACCGAAGCUACGGCAUCAGUAAUGACGGGUAGGGGAGCUUCCCAUACGGGUUGAAGCAUGACCGUAAGGACAUGUGGACAGUAUGGGAGUGAGAAUGUUGGCAUGAGUAGCGAGAUGUGGGUGAGAAUCCCACAGGCCGUAAACCCAAGGUUUCCAGGGGAAGGUUCGUCCGCCCUGGGUUAGUCGGGACCUAAGCUGAGGCCGAAAGGCGUAGG